CAGCAGCCGCGGUAAUGCGUAGGGUGCGAGCGUUAAUCGGAAUUACUGGGCAUAAAGCGUGCGUAGGCGGUUUGUUAAGUCUGCUGUGAAAUCCCCGGGCUCAACCUGGGAAUGGCAGUGGAUACUGGCAAGCUAGAGUGUGUCAGAGGAUGGUGGAAUUCCCGGUGUAGCGGUGAAAUGCGUAGAGAUCGGGAGGAACAUCAGUGGCGAAGGCGGCCAUCUGGGACAACACUGACGCUGAGGCACGAAAGCGUGGGGAGCAAACAGGAUUAGAUACCCGCGUAGUCCCUGUCUCUUAUAC
rnacentral:rRNA from 1 species